GCUCACUGGUCGAGUCGGCCUGCGCGGAAGAUGUAACGGGGCUAAACCAUGCACCGAAGCUGCGGCAGCGACGCUUAUGCGUUGUUGGGUAGGGGAGCGUUCUGUAAGCCUGCGAAGGUGGCCUGUGAGGGCUGCUGGAGGUAUCAGAAGUGCGAAUGCUGACAUAAGUAACGAUAAAGCGGGUGAAAAGCCCGCUCGCCGGAAGACCAAGGGUUCCUGUCCAACGUUAAUCGGGGCAGGGUGAGUCGACCCCUAAGGCGAGGCCGAAAGGCGUAGUCGAUGGGAAACAGGUUAAUAUUCCUGUACUUGGUGUUACUGCGAAGGGGGGACGGAGAAGGCUAUGUUAGCCGGGCGACGGUUGUCCCGGUUUAAGCAUGUAGGCGGAGGUUCCAGGUAAAUCCGGUACCUUUUAACGCUGAGGUGUGAUGACGAGGCACUACGGUGCUGAAGUAACAAAUGCCCUGCUUCCAGGAAAAGCCUCUAAGCAUCAGGUAACAUCAAAUCGUACCCCAAACCGACACAGGUGGUCAGGUAGAGAAUACCAAGGCGCUUGAGAGAACUCGGGUGAAGGAACUAGGCAAAAUGGUGCCGUAACUUCGGGAGAAGGCACGCUGGUGUGUAGGUGAAGUCCCUGCGGAUGGAGCUGAGACCAGUCGAAGAUACCAGCUGGCUGCAACUGUUUAUUAAAAACACAGCACUGUGCAAACACGAAAGUGGACGUAUACGGUGUGACGCCUGCCCGGUGCCGGAAGGUUAAUUGAUGGGGUUAUCCGUAAGGAGAAGCUCUUGAUCGAAGCCCCGGUAAACGGCGGCCGUAACUAUAACGGUCCUAAGGUAGCGAAAUUCCUUGUCGGGUAAGUUCCGACCUGCACGAAUGGCGUAAUGAUGGCCAGGCUGUCUCCACCCGAGACUCAGUGAAAUUGAACUCGCUGUGAAGAUGCAGUGUACCCGCGGCAAGACGGAAAGACCCCGUGAACCUUUACUAUAGCUUGACACUGAACAUUGAGCCUUGAUGUGUAGGAUAGGUGGGAGGCUUUGAAGCGUGGACGCCAGUCUGCGUGGAGCCAACCUUGAAAUACCACCCUUUAAUGUUUGAUGUUCUAACGUAGGCCCCUGACCGGGGUUGCGGACAGUGUCUGGUGGGUAGUUUGACUGGGGCGGUCUCCUCCCAAAGAGUAACGGAGGAGCACGAAGGUUAGCUAAUCCUGGUCGGACAUCAGGAGGUUAGUGCAAUGGCAUAAGCUAGCUUGACUGCGAGCGUGACGGCGCGAGCAGGUGCGAAAGCAGGUCAUAGUGAUCCGGUGGUUCUGAAUGGAAGGGCCAUCGCUCAACGGAUAAAAGGUACUCCGGGGAUAACAGGCUGAUACCGCCCAAGAGUUCAUAUCGACGGCGGUGUUUGGCACCUCGAUGUCGGCUCAUCACAUCCUGGGGCUGAAGUAGGUCCCAAGGGUAUGGCUGUUCGCCAUUUAAAGUGGUACGCGAGCUGGGUUUAGAACGUCGUGAGACAGUUCGGUCCCUAUCUGCCGUGGGCGCUGGAGAAUUGAGGGGGGCUGCUCCUAGUACGAGAGGACCGGAGUGGACGCAUCACUGGUGUUCGGGUUGUCAUGCCAAUGGCACUGCCCGGUAGCUAAAUGCGGAAGAGAUAAGUGCUGAAAGCAUCUAAGCACGAAACUUGCCCCGAGAUGAGUUCUCCCUGAGACUUUAAGUCUCCUGAAGGAACGUUAAAGACGAUGACGUUGAUAGGCCGGGUGUGUAAGCGCAGCGAUGCGUUGAGCUAACCGGUACUAAUGAACCGUGAGGCUUAACCUU
rnacentral:rRNA from 1 species